ACGUCUUCUGCGGGCUUCCUCUUCAUUCCCAUUUCACCGAAGAGCCAAACUGAGGUCAGUUUAGGCCAGCAAGUGACCUGCUCGAGGGUGACUCGGUACGUCGCAGCACUGCCUAGAAGAGCGUAUGCUUCUCCCAGGCCUUCGCCCAGAUUUUGCCCUUUGACCUCUACCACGCAUCUCCUCAGUCAUCCAUUUCCCCGAAACCCCUCCCCCCUUUUCCUUGCACCUCUUCUGACCCUCUGGCCUGUGCUGGCCGGCAGCUAUUUCUACUCUUGUUUCUUCUCCCUCCCUUGGCCCAGCCACGCAUUCACCUAUGCCCCCCCCCACCUCUGAGCCAAUCGGGCUGCGGUGUGCAGCCCCGGGGACAUGGUGGUGGCAGUUGAGGGUGGUGACAGGGAGACUGAGAUGGCUAACAAGUGGGUACUUACAAGAAGACAAUCCCCAGAGGUUCCAGAGGCCAAGAGUGAGCUGGGCAGACCCACACUACCCAACCCAUGCCUUGAUUAGCUGCAGGAGUUAACUGUGUGAACAGUGUGUGUGUGUGUGUGUGUGUGUGUGUGUGUGUGUGUGCGUGUGCGCGCGCGCGCGCACGCGUGUGGCGCACAAGCACACAUAUGUGUGUCACACAUACUGGCUUCCAGAAAAAAAUUACCCGAGGUAGAGUAUGGCUUUCUUACCCCAUCGCCUUCAGGCCGCCUGCCUUGGAUGACCCAGAGCCUUCCCUGCCCCUCUCAGACUUGGGCGGCCGUACAUCUCUCUCGAAUUUGGGGAAAGGAAUUUUAAAAGCCUCUUGUGCAAGUCAGCUCCCUGCCUUCCAAGCUCUCUUCUUGGCCCUCGCUGUCAGCAUCAAUUUUCUGCAGGGAGUGAUUUAACCUUCAUUUAUUCAUUAAUUCUUUUUUCCCCUUAACUUCAUUAGGUAAGAUUUAUAAAGGUGCUGAAUUGGAAAGGUCACCUGUCCCUGGGCCCAGGACACAGUGUGCCUGCAUCCCUUCUCAUGAGCUUCCUUCCAGGAGCGCUCUGGAGGUGGGGAGGGGAGGGGAGUAGCAGAGGAGAAAGUCAAAGCCGAGCCUAGGGCUCCCCAGGAAGGCAGGGCAGGCACCCGCUGGCUGGUGGGAGGCCCAGGGACAUGGGGGAAGGGCGGGCUCUGUUAAGCACAUCUGGAAUCCCGGCCCCACCUCUCACUGAAUUGACCUUUGCCAAAUUAUCUAAUCUGAGCCCUUGGUUUCCUCUUAGAUAAAUUGUCAAUAAUGAUAGACUCUACGUUAUCAGGUGGUGGCAGGGAUUAAAUUGGCGAUAUACAGAGAAUCCUGAGCACGGUACCUGACGCACAGCAAACACUCAAUAAACAGUAGCUUUUUAAAAAGAUCUUCAAUUGUCCCGGUCGAACCCUGACAGUACUGCGCAGUCGUUAGCUCACUAACCACUAGCGACUGGUGCGCAGGGAGUCUGUCUGAUUGCUCCACGACAAGCAGGCCCACGUAUCCCGUGAUUGAUGCCAUCUCCAGAACCACAGGCAAAGCCUAAGCUCAUAGAGGAGCCAGAAAAAAAGCCAAGCCACCGCCUGGAUCGAGAUGGCUUCCUGAGGCCCAGAGAUUUCUGCAAGGAAGCCAGGCUAAGCUGGCAUCCUGCUCUCUGCCGUGGCCCGGCCGCACUCACUGCCUGGCCCAUCCCGCAAUGAUCCAUAGUCGUGGGCCUUUCCCAAGGCCUCUGAGGCCUGCCGGGCUCAGCCUUCAGCCAGCUCGUCUCGAGGAGCUGUGUCUCUCAUUAACAACCUCCCCAGAUGAAGGAGAAACAGACUAGAGGCUAAAGAACCGUGCAGGUGUUUUGAACUUAUAGAAAGUGCACUGAGAAGUAGAUUGCAAUAGAGGAAGGAACGCUGGGUGGACGCGUCUGCCUGGGGUCUCUUUGGUGCUAGACGGGACGAAGACCGAUGCUAAGCUCGGGACGGCACCCCUCCAAGGAACGUGGGGUCCUCUGAACAGGACCCACGGGAGAGCUAAACUGCUGAUCUGGUCCCAGGGCGGUCCUCCUUGUACCCAUUGAGAUCACCGGACAUCUCGAUCACUUUUUGAACAGCCCCGAUUAGGAAGUGACUGGCAAUCAUACCUGAACUUCGAGGGCAUUCUUCAUUAUGUGAGUCCUUCCCUGAUUCUCCAGCUGUGGCUGCCACCACGGCCUCCAUGCCUGUCAUCUAAAGACACUGUAUGGGGCACCUGGGUGGCUCAGUCGGUUAAGCGUCCGACUCUUGAUUUCCGCGCAGGUCGUGAUCUCACAGCUCGGGAGUCUGAGCCCCGCGUCGGGCUCUGU